CUUUUUGCUCACCCCACCUGGUACUCCAUGUCGUAGCUGGGCAGGAUGAUCCGCCCGUGCUUCCACUCGCCGCCCUGGUCCUCGCGGAUGACCCACAGCAGCUUGCUCUCCUGGCUGGCUUCCCGCACCACCUGCAGCGCCACCCCGCGGCCGCCUGUGGCCUGGGACGGUGAAUAUCCUGGACUUGUCAGGGUAGAUGGGCUAGGAUUCUAGAGCCUAGAAUCAAUGCAACACUCCCUGGACCGCUGCUUUGCUGUUGUUAAUCCUGCUGACCUCACCUUUGUAGGUGUGACCUCUGCAAGGCCAAAAUCAGCACAGAUAACUAAAAGGCAGCUGUCUACAGAAGAGAAUUAAUAAUGGUGUCUGCUGAGGGAGGAUACACUGAUGCCAAAUCAGACCCUCAAAGAUCUUCUAAACCUAUGCUUCCCCUAUCAGAUCUUACUAUUACUGCUGUUAAUGAUAAUAAUUAAAGCUCAUUCUUGCAUAAUGCUUUACAGGUUA
rnacentral:antisense_RNA from 1 species